GACGAACGCUGGCGGCGUGCUUAACACAUGCAAGUCGAACGGAAAGGCCCUGCUUUUGUGGGGUGCUCGAGUGGCGAACGGGUGAGUAACACGUGAGUAACCUGCCCUUGACUUUGGGAUAACUUCAGGAAACUGGGGCUAAUACCGGAUAGGAGCUCCUGCUGCGUGGGGGGGGUUGGAAAGUUUCGGCGGUUGGGGCUGGACUCGCGGCUUAUUAGCUUGUUGGUGGGGUAGGGACUUACCAAGGCUUCGACGGGUAGCCGACCUGACAGGCUGAUAGGCCACACUGGAGCUGAGACGCGGUCCUGGGGCCUGCGGGACGCAGCAGUAGGGAAUGUUCCGCAGUGGGCGGAAGCCUGACGGAGCAGCGCCGCGUGAGUGAUGGAGGCCCUCGGAUCGUAAAACUCUGUUAUUAGGUGAAAACAUAUGUGUAAGUAACUGAGCACAUAGUGACGGUACUUGGUCAGAAAGCCCCGGCUAACUACGUG
rnacentral:rRNA from 1 species